UCAACAGCCUCGGAGACUGAAACCCACUAGCUCUCUUCAGAACAGGUACAGCCCAGGCAGUGGUUGUGCUUCCACACUUUCCCUGCCACCAUGCCUCACCCCUGGCCUGGAGGAACCACCUCUAGAGGCCAGUUCAGCCUUCAUGUCCGUGGAGAACUUCUUCA
ensembl:misc_RNA